UCGAAGAUAAAAUAUUUGCAACAUAAGUUAAUUGUUCUAUUUGCAACAUAAAAUAGAAUAGGCUAAUGGUUCUGAUUCCUGAGUCAUACCGGGAAAAACUGAGAAAUGUUUAGUACAUCGAUAUUGUUAUAACUUCAAAAGGUGGCAUUCAAUCGAACUCAAGAUAUCAUAGGAGGCCUCCACAUCAUAGUCCAUCCAUAAUGCCUUAUAAGGCAGUGCGGACACAAAACAUCGAGGCAAUUCAGAAUAAGAGGUCCUGCUCCUGCAAGAUUAUUCGAUUUGAGUUAGCUCAAGAAACGUGUUUAGUAAACAAUGAUGUAUUACAGUAAUGAUAAAAAGAAGCUUAUAUAUUUGACCUAUCUUAUUAGAGAGCAUGAUUAACUUAUAUACAGUUAAAAGGCUGAUCUAGAACUUGUAAGCAACUUUUGCAUAUCAGCCGCAUUCCAUAUACAUUUCAUUGCUUCAACGGGCAAAUGAAAUCCUGGAUAUAUGAGAAUCAUGCAGUCAUAAUAUCAUAAAAAAAUUAAUAAACACGUACAUCUGGGUGGUGCCAUCAGGUGAAGGCCUCUUAAAUAUAGUCGAUCGGAGAUGCAAGGACGAUGACAUUGGUAUACUUGUGUUUUUAUUGCACUAACAAUAUCAAUUUUGAGGUACUUCUAGAACUCCCGAAGAUUAUGGUUUUAUGGACCCUCUUGGCGGUUUCACCGCACAAAGGCGUUGAGGAUUUGCAUUCUAAUCUCUCAAUACAGAUCAUCCCCGGAACACAAAUUGUAAGAAAAAACGCUUUAGAGAUAUAGUAGUCCUGCUGCUCCCCACUCAUCGAAUAAAUAAUAUAUUUUCUCCUUCUGUACCUGAUGCUUUCAAAAAUGAAAGAAUUGGAGAGCUGCAAGUGAGUGAGCUUAUGAGUGCAUAAGCAUGAUGCAGCUACUAAACCUUGAAAAAGAAACUUCAGAUUUACAAUGCAGCUACUAAACCUUGAAAAAGAAACUUCAGAUUUAAGAUAGUACGAUUUAGAAGGUCUAAAGUGUAGCACUGAUGGAAACAUUACACUGCAGGCUACCAUCAUAAAUAAUCCUGAGUUUACAACAAAAUUAAAAUCUGAGGAUUAAAAUGGAAAUAUAUUGUGGAAAAUAAAAAUUACUUUGUUUAUUGGCACCUUAUUACAGACUGGUCCCUAUUAGGAUGGGAAGACCUAUAGGAAAAAAAAGUACAUCCAAGUACUAACAUCAUUGGUAAAUGAUAAUACAUAGCCUAAUAUUGACUGUUGGGUGGUAUGAUCAUUCCAUUUUUCAGUGCAUAUAUGAUAUAUCGAUAAUUGCCUUCUUCUCUUUUAAAUUUGAUAAUUUUCUCAGUGUAACUGUACUAAGUUAACAUAUCUUCUCACACUAAUAAUGAGCACCGUGUCUUCCAAAUUAAAAUGACAUUUUUCACAAUCACCAUUGGUCCAUCAGUCCGUUCCUAAAUCCUAAUUAUGUAUAGACAAAAUAAAAAGGGAAUAAAGCAUCUAUAGUACUUACCUGGAGCCCUAUAACAUUGAUUCUGCCACACUGAUUCUUGCAAGAGCAGAAGGUGCUAGCCUUUUGACAGGGGAAAUGUGCAAGAUAAAUAAACCUCAACAUGUGUAUCAGGAAAUGGCAAUUCAGAGUUCUAUUCAGUAUUUUGGGUAACAGCAGGUUCCACCAUCCUUAUAACUACCCAUGACUGUUUUUGUCUCUAGCAUGACCAAUUGAUAAAAUGUGGAGGAAAGUAGGGGAAAUGGCCGAUACUGCUAGAAGAAUUCCUCUUUGCCUGAUAGGUACUGUAGCUGGUAUUGCUGUGAUUGGUUUAGUAGGUGUUUUCUUUUAUGGUUCAUAUUCUGGAUUGGGUUCAUCUCUAUAGUAAUCGGAGGGACCAGAUUGUAAACAUGAAAAAGUAGGAGCUUAACGGGUCCUUACCCCCCUUUAUCUAAUUAGAGCGGAAAGGACCCGCGGAAUUUUUACUCUUAACGCGAAUUGAAUCUAUUCGAUUCACUCUUAUGAAGCAACAAGAAAAAGAGAUCACUCGAGGAUCCAAUAUCUUAUUCCACAAAGGAAGUAAGAGUAAUUAAUCGUUGUUGUUUCAAGGUUAAUCUAUUUAUUCGUCUCGAUAAUAUUUUUCCUUGUUCACUAAUAAAUCUAUUAAUGAAACUCAUGUUUCUAUAAUCAAUUCGAUCUCCCGGGCCAAUCUGGGGACGCCUACGAAAAGGUUGUUUAGAUUUAUGAAAAGGUUGCUUGAAUUUACGAAAAGUUUGCUUGGGUUUACGAAAGGGUUGCUUGGAUUUAUUAAAAGUUUGCUUGGAUUUACUAAAGGGUUGCUUAGAUUUAAGAAAAGGUUGUUUAGAUGUAUACAUGAUUUAUUCCUUAUUUAAAAUUUGAAAAUUCACUUCUUUAUUUUAUUAAUUUAGGAUCCAGAAGAAGUAGUUUUUUUUUGAUCCAUAUCUUAUUUGAUUCAUAUUAUAGUAUACGAAUACCCUCUAUACAUAUGAAAUAAUAUCUACCGGAAAUCAGAUGAGUUGAUUUGUAUUUUGUAUUCUAUACUAUGUUUUCUUUAUAUAUUAAAUAUGAAGUUCUUACUCUUUUUGUUGUUUGGAAAGAUCGAACACACGAUGUUCCUAUUUCUUUAUUUCGUGUGAGUCGUAUGCUUGCGACAAUAACGACAUAAUUUUUUGAAUUCUAAUUGUCCGGGUAUAUUGUGGCGAUUCUUUUGAGUACUAUAUCUAGAAAUCCCUGUCGAUUCCUCAUUGGCACCUUUUCGAACACAACUGAUGCAUUCCAAAAUAACUCUGAUUCUAACAUCUUUUCCCUUGGCCAUGAACCUCCUUUUCUUUUUGGAUUGACUUAUAGUGUCAGGCAAUGCACGUACUGUUUAGAAAAGAGCAUAUUCAUCACUUUACUUGAUAGAUUCAGUCAAGCAAACAAAAUUAUGAAUCCAAGAAAGAAAACACACCUACUACGUCCACUGAUCCACCAAAAC
rnacentral:lncRNA from 1 species